rnacentral:rRNA from 1 species
CUUGGUCAUUUAGAGGAAGUAAAAGUCGUAACAAGGUCUCCGUUGGUGAACCAGCGGAGGGAUCAUUACCGAGUUUACAACUCCCAAACCCCUGUGAACAUACCUAUACGUUGCCUCGGCGGAUCAGCCCGCGCCCCGUAAAAAGGGACGGCCCGCCCGAGGACCCCUAAACUCUGUUUUUAGUGGAACUUCUGAGUAAAACAAACAAAUAAAUCAAAACUUUCAACAACGGAUCUCUUGGUUCUGGCAUCGAUGAAGAACGCAGCAAAAUGCGAUAAGUAAUGUGAAUUGCAGAAUUCAGUGAAUCAUCGAAUCUUUGAACGCGCAUUGCGCCCGCCAGUAUUCUGGCGGGCAUGCCUGUUCGAGCGUCAUUUCAACCCUCAAGCUCAGCUUGGUGUUGGGACUCGCGGUAACCCGCGUUCCCCAAAUCGAUUGGCGGUCGCGUCGAGCUUCCAUAGCGUAGUAAUCAUACACCUCGUUACUGGUAAUCGUCGCGGCCACGCCGUAAAACCCCAACUUCUGAAUGUUGACCUCGGAUCAGGUAGGAAUACCCGCUGAACUUAAGCAUAUCAAUAAGCGGAGGA